rnacentral:rRNA from 1 species
AUGAUCGACUACAAGCUAAUCUACCGAAGUGGGACUGCCACUGCCGUCCUCAUAAACGGGUUCCACACACCUCAAGGAGAUAAGAAUAACAGGCAGCAGGUCCGUGGGAUUCCUCAAGUACUUUGGGAUCAGCUUCUUCUGGAGCUUCUUCCAGUGGUUCUACACCGAUGGCAACGUCUGCGGCUUCCGCCGGUUUCCCACCUUCGGGCUAAAAACCUGAAAUUUUUCUUCGACUUCAGCCUGACGUAUGUUGGCGCCGGGAUGAUCUGCUCGCACCUCGUCAACCUCUCCCUCCUCUUCGGCGCCGUCCUCUCCUGGGGUGUAAUGUGGCCGCUCAUGAGCAAGUAG